rnacentral:rRNA from 1 species
GGUAGAUAGGUUGGAGGUGGAAGUGCAGCAAUGCAUGGAGCUGACCAAUACUAAUCGGUCGAGGGCUUAUCCUAAA